GGACUACCCGGGUAUCUAAUCCUGUUUGCUCCCCACGCUUUCGUGCCUCAACGUCAGGAAUGAGCCAAGAAGCUGCCUUCGCCAUUGGUGUUCCUCCUGAGAUCCACGCAUUUUACCGCUACUCCAGGAAUUCCACUUCUCUCUCUCAACCUCUAGUACGCCAGUUUUCAUCGCAACCCUCCAGUUAGGCUAGAGUCUUUAACGACAAACUUAACAUACCGUCUACGCACCCUUUACGCCCAGUGAUUCCGAAUAACGCUUGCACCCUUCGUAUUACCGCGGCUGCUGGCAC
rnacentral:rRNA from 1 species